rnacentral:rRNA from 1 species
GACGAACGCUGGCGGCGUGCUUAACACAUGCAAGUCGAACGAUGAAGCUAGAGCUUGCUCUGGUGAAUUAGUGGCGAACGGGUGAGUAACACGUGAGUAACCUGCCCCGAACUCUGGGAUAACUGCUGGAAACGGUAGCUAAUACUGGAUACGACCUACGAAGGCAUCUUCUGUAGGUGGAAAGAAUUUCGGUUCGGGAUGAACUCGCGGCCUAUCAGGUUGUUGGUGAGGUAAUGGCUCACCAAGGCGACGACGGGUAGCCGGCCUGAGAGGGUGACCGGCCACACUGGGACUGAGACACGGCCCAGACUCCUACGGGAGGCAGCAGUGGGGAAUAUUGCACAAUGGGCGCAAGCCUGAUGCAGCAACGCCGCGUGAGGGAUGACGGCCUUCGGGUUGUAAACCUCUUUUAGUAGGGAAGAAGCGAAAGUGACGGUACCUGCAGAAAAAGCACCGGCUAACUACGUGCCAGCCGCCGCAGUAA